rnacentral:rRNA from 1 species
CAGCCGCCGCGGUAAUACGAAGGGUGCAAGCGUUAAUCGGAAUUACUGGGCGUAAAGCGUGCGUAGGCGGUGAGUUAAGUCUGCUGUGAAAUCCCCGGGCUCAACCUGGGAAUGGCAGUGGAUACUGGCUCGCUAGAGUGUGUCAGAGGAUGGUGGAAUUCCCGGUGUAGCGGUGAAAUGCGUAGAGAUCGGGAGGAACAUCAGUGGCGAAGGCGGCCAUCUGGGGCAACACUGACGCUGAGGCACGAAAGCGUGGGGAGCAAACAGGAUUAGAUACCCGGGUAGUCCCUGUCUCUUAUAC